rnacentral:rRNA from 1 species
GAUCAACGCUGGCGGCGUGCCUAACGCAUGUAAGUCGCACGCGACUUCCUUCGGGAGGUGAGUGGCGAACGGCUGAGGAACACGUACGAACCUGCCCGCUUGUGGGGAAUAACUCACCGAAAGGUGUGCUAAUACCGCGUACGCUCAUGCGCAAGCAGUGAGGAAAGCCGUAAGGCGCAGGCGGAGGGGCGUGCGGCCCAUCAGGUUGUUGGUGAGGUAAUGGCUCACCAAGCCGGUGACGGGUAGCUGGUCUGUGAGGACGAUCAGCCAGACUGGGACUGCGACACGGCCCAGACACCUACGGGAGGCAGGCAGUUCAGAAUCUUGCACAAUGGGCGAAAGCCUGAUGCAGCGAUACCGCGUGGGUGAAGAAGGCC